UACAUAAGAAAUGACAGUGAAGAAACUUUUCAAACUGCAGAACAUGUUAACAUGGUCCAUGUUUGAAAAUGAAUACUAUACAAGGGUAAAGUCUUAAUUAUAUGAGUUCCACAUGAUAGACAAACAGCUGUUAGAUAUUAAUCUAGAGGAACUCAGGAAACAAGAAAUCAUUGUGGAUCAAAUAAAGGGCAAAACUUCCACAAAAAUACCAUCAGAAGAGCCAAGUAUAAAGUUGAAACAAAAAGAUGGCAUCUGCCAAGGUAAGAACCUUGAUUAAAGUUGUUCAAAUUUUAAAGUUGUUACAGUCCUUAAAAUCAGCUCCCAGAAGCAGACUGCUAAAGAUGUUUAACAGGUGGCCUGGUUUAGAUGUUAUAAAGCUCUUAACUAUAUUGAAAAUGAGGAAAAAAAGAGUUCAGUAUUUCAAUGACAGAUUAACUUCAUUUACCCUCUGGAGACCAUUCCCAAUAUGUCUUAAAAAUAAAACUGUUUUCCUUGUCAAAUUCAUUGAUAUAUCCUAUAGGCACUUGGGAGCUCCCUGGAGGUGUGAUUCCCUCUGGGCUGACUAGUGAUUGAGUAGAAGUUGUAUAAGUGGCCAUGGAUGAGAUAGAGCAGGGGCCCUGGCUUGAUGGGAGGGUUUGCACUGACCAGGGAGUGACAUGUUCUGUGGGCCAGGAAGCCAGGCAAACAGAACAAAGAUUAAGAAAUAUGCAAUUAUUACAAUUCAAAGAAGUGAAAAAGGCAAAAGGCAGCCUUGAGCCUGAGACGCCAUUCCCAUUCAACUCGAUGUUUCAUAGAGAAAUGCAUGGACCACUCUGAACAACACCAAGGAAAGAGCAGAUAAAUAACUGCAUCUAAGUAGAAAAAGCAAUUAGAAGUAUAUGAUAGGUAGAUCCCGAUUAGAGAUUGAAUUGCACUGUGUCCAUGAGUGACAGUUUUCCCACCUGAGAGAUCCCAGAACUGUGGUUUAUUUAUUCCCAUUGCUGCUUCUCAGCUUUAAUGUCACAUAUUUUUAUGUUAUUUCCAUUUCUUUGACAUGAACCUAGACUGCCAGAUUUAAUUCAAUAAUAUAUUAAUUCAAGAAGAGAAAUAUGGCUAAACAUUAUAUUUCAUCUAGUGUGUUCAAUGCUUUUGUCUCACCAGGUAGCACUGGAUAUUGGGAAGGGUGUUACGGAUAGACCAUCCCGAGUUUGAAACUUUUUAUCCUCUCCCUUCUUUUUGAUGUUGUUUCUUACCUUCUCUGAGCUUCAAGUUUUUCUUACCUGAAAUAGGAAACAAAUGAUAUAUCUCCAGCAUUAAGUUAUAUGAGGAUGUAGGAUAAAUGCCUGGAAGAGAAAACAGGAAAUGGAAACAGGUUGAUCAAGGAUUUAUCACUGUGGCUCAGCAGCCUAAGAAUACAACAUAAUGUCCUCAUGGACAUUACGAGGAUGCAGGUUUGAUCCCUGGUCUUUCUCACCGGGUUAAGGAUAGGGCAUGUUGCAAACUGCAGUGUAGGUCUCAGAGGUGAUUUGGAUCUGCUGUUGCCGAGGCUGUGGUGUGGGCCUUCAGCUGCAGCCUCAAUUCUACCCCUAGCCCAGGAACUUCCAUAUGCUGCAGGUGUGGCCACACAAAAAAAAAAGAGGAAACAGGUUGAUCAUGAUUACAGUUCUUAUCCCUCAGAAUUCUCUCAAUUAUUGCAAAGCAGAGAAUAGAAUAUCAUUUCCACAGAAUUAAGAGUUGCAGGGAUGGGUAGUGAAGUGACAUCCCUGUUUAGACAGAACCUUUGCUCUCCAGGUUACCAUAGUUACUACGAGACAUUAUUAAUUCAUUUGUAUUACCUAUUUCCUAUAGGCGUAUGAAUAAGUUAUCCUUAUGUAAGAUCAUAAAUAAGUGUUGGUCAAGACUUCUGUUCUUACAAAAUUUAAGUGUAUAUAAAAUGAAUUGACCUGGCAAAAUGCCUUGAGCAUAGUACUCAGCAACUAAAUGAUUCUAGUGUUCCUGAGCUAAAACUCCCAAGACUAACAAUCAUUUUCAGUUCAUCUACAUUCUGAUAUUCAUCAUUUUUCCUAUGUUGACCUUUUCACACAGAAUUUGGAGCGGGAAGGACUUCAGGACUGCCCAUUGUGUACUAUUCAUUUGCCAGCUGAAAAAACUGAGGCCCCCAGGGGAAGGAUGUUAGCAUGGUAGAUAACAUAGUGUUGGAACAGGGAAUAAACCUGGGUCACCUUAUCAGCUGCUUAAAUCUUUUUCGAAUACAUCUCUAAUUUCUCCCUGAAUGAGCUUACACACAAAACAUUUAGUUUUGUGCCUGGCACAAAGUCAAUAGUCAAUAAGAGUGAGCUGUUAGAAUUGUUAUUUCCAUCACUUUCCUUUGUUCCACUGUUUCAUGAACUUAUGAUCUUCUAUUACUUUUGGUUAGUCAUGAACAGAUCUGUCCUUCAGCCUGCAGUUUGGACUCUGUUUCUGCUCACUACAUGUUCAAAACUGGCUCUUACUUUUUGGAAGUCCAAUAGUGCUUAGUCUUCUUAUCACUUCUUAGCAAUCUAUUGCCUGUUGGUGUUACUGAACAGUUUAUUUCUUAUUAUAUGUACUGCCCAACUUUACCCCACCCCCAAAAUUUCAGUUCCAUUGGAGGGUAGAUGAAACUUGGCUUUUUUCUCAUUAUUUGACUGAUGGAUUGAGACGUGAACAUCUAGUGUUCUGAGACACAUCAUAAAACUUGUGCCAACUCGGUACACCUGUGCCCCAUGUCGUUUACAGUUGAAAAUGCCAGAGUAUCACAGCAAAGUUAUGGCAAACAAAAAUUAAAAGUAGCUACAUAGAGACUAUUACUAUUUUUGGGGGAACUGCUAAGGUUGAAUUUUACAAAGUACAGUGCCUAUACAACUGCUUCAUAAAAAGAAUAUAAUUCCCUUGCAUUAUUUAUUGCAGAGGAUAGAUAACCCAUUAGAAUUAAAGUGUCAUCACACUGGCUACAUAUCUGUCAAUGCUUAGUAAGUGGGUCAUAUUUCUAAUACAGAAGGUGAACAUAAGAACCAGAAGUAGAAUCUAUUCAGGGAAAAUUUAGAAACAAGUGUUUAUUCAACAGUGUAUGCAUGAAUUGCAAUAUUCUGCUUUUACUUCACUCUUGAGGGUUGGCCCCAAGAUGGACUUUGUAAGUUUAGGGGGAAGACAUAACACUUCAGUUAAACUGUAUACAAAUGAAUCAAUCACAGAUAAUAACAUGUCCUUGAGAUACAGCCAGAGUUUUGUAACACAAUUCAAAGUUCCUCUUCUUACUGCUUUUUACUUUCUAGGCAGAAGUAAAUAUGAAUUUUAAUAGAGCAGGUACCUGAAGCAUAAUGAGACAUAUCAACAUGGUACUAUAAAAAAUGAAGUCGGUGGUUGUCAAAAAUGUUCAACUCAAUAAGGCCUGGUUUAGUCACAAAGGAAUGUGACUGUUUUACAAUUUCAACAUUCUACAAAAGUACAAAGUCUUAGAAGUUCAAUGUGAAACAGUUUCUGAUUCCUUUCCUUCCACUUCUGUUUUUGACUUCCAUUAGACUUAUGAAUUUAAACAAGAUCAAGGUAACAUUGGUUUAAUGGAAAGUGUGGCAGCUCAAAUUGUAGGGUUCUUUUCUCAGUGUAAAGACUUGCUGUGUUUUUAAAUAGAAAGCAAGAUCAAGCUCCCAAGUAUAAGUGAUAAACUUGUACAGUAAAUCAGUGAGUAAGAAAGAUGAUACAGCAGGUAGAUCUUGAGUAGUAAGUCACAUCUCUGACAGGAACAAAAUUACUUUAAAUCUUGUAGCAUACCCCAACUCUUAUGGAGAUUAGUUAUCCAAGAUAUUGUGAAUUAAGUGUCAUUUUUAAAGCAUAGCAGUGCUAGGGAGAGUAUUUCCCCUUAUCAUUUGUUCAUGUAUUAUUUUUUUAUAGGAUUUCCCCAAAUGCCACUUCAGUCUCAGUAGAAUGCUGGUGGAAGGACCCCACGAGUCUUGCAUUUUUUUUUUUUUUGUCUUCUUUUUUUGCCUUUUCUAGGCCCUCUUCCCAUGGCAUGGAGUUCCCAGGCUAGGGGUCUAAUCGGAGCUGUAGCUGCCAGCCCUAGGCCAGAGCUGCAAUGUGGGAUCCGAGCCACAUAUGUGACCUACACCACAGCUCAUGGCAAUGCCACUGAGCAAGGCCAGGGAUUGAACCCCCAAUGUCAUGGUUCCUAGUCGGAUUUGUUAACCACUCUGCCACGAUGGGAACUCCAAGUCUUGCAUUUUUUUUUUUUUUUUUUUUUUUGUCAAGUUGUUGUGUAUAUAGAACAAACUCCACCACAGUAGUCACAUACCUGUCUCUGAUGGAUAAACUACUCUAUGGCUACUGUAGAAGCUGAGCAAAAGAACUAAAAUUAAUGCUAAGACUGGAAAGGCUUUACAAACAUCUAACACCCAUGUACUGAGAACCAAACCUGCUGGAUGAUAUGAAAGACAAACUCUUUAUUCAAUUUAUUCCUUUACAAAGUCUUUAUUGAGAGACUGCUAUGUACAAGAGAUUAUGCUGGAGUUCCCGUCGUGGCUCAGUGGUUAAUGACUCUGACGAGGAACCAUGAGGUUGCGGGUUCGAUCCCUGGAAUUGCUCAGUGGGUUAAGGAUUCGGCAUUGCAGUGAGCUGUGGUGCAGGUUGCAGACGCGGCUCGGAUCCCGUGUUGCUGUGGCUCUGGUGUAGGCCGGUGGCUACAGCUCUGAUUCGACUCCUAGCCUGGGAACCUCCAUAUGGCAUAGUGCAUAAAGAGACCUGGCAUUGAGUCUGAUUCUGCCACUCUCAGGCAACUUAUUUCCAAUUUCUGGGUCUCAGUUUUCUCUGGAGAUUAUAAAUAGAGCCUACUUAUUAGUGAUAUUGUGAGAAUUAAAUAAGAUACUGAAAUAAUUCUUAUAAAAAUUUAGCAUAGUGCCUGGCACCUGUGUUUCAUUAAUAUUAGUUGUUGUAAUUGUUACGACAUACAUUACAAAGAUGAAGGCCUUAUACUUGGGUUAUCUGUAAUCAGUGUUAAUACAAUUUCAGCCUCAGUAGACUAGAUCGGCCCCAAAAUCUGAAUGUACAGUAGAUUUAAAAAAUGAAUGGGGGAGUUCCUGUCGUGGUGCAAUGGUUAACGGAUCCGACUAGGAACCAUGAGGUUGCGGGUUCGGUCCCUGCCCUUGCUCAGUGGGUUAGACAAUCCGGCGUUGCCGUGAGCUGCGGUGUAGGUUGCAGACGCAGCUCGGAUCCCACGUUGCUGUGGCUCUGGUGUAGGCUGGUGGCUACAGCUCCGAUUCGACCCCUAGCCUGAGAACCUCCAUAUGCUGUGGGAGCGGCCCAAGAAAU
rnacentral:lncRNA from 1 species